UGGCCCGGACUGCCCGGCCCCUACCUCCAUGCCGCGCGUCGCCGGCCUGCCCGGUCCCCCACCGCCGGUAUCCCGCCGGCCACCUCGCCGGCUAUAAAAGGAGGCCGCCCCGGCUGCCCCUCUCCCCACACCGCGCCACACCUCAACCUCCUCCACACCUAACCACUGCCGCCGCCACCCGUGUGCCCCUGUGCCGAGCCGCCGCCACCGCCACAUAACCACUGCCACCGCCAAGAUCCACCACCGGCCACACCCCCUUCCCUACCCAAAUCCCCAAGGUGAGUAGCAAAAUGGGGCCUCCACGAACUCCUCCACCUCCCCCCGCCACCCAUCGUCGCCGUCGGCGAGCCUAGGCCGCCGCCCCUAGGCCGGCCGUGCCCCUCUCUCUCUCCCUGUGUACUGUGCGCACAAGAGGAAGAAGAAAGCCCAAAUUCUGAUCUAACCCCCUGAAAUCCACUAUUCGCGAAAUAGUCCUUCCACCUCUCUCAAAGGCUGUUGCGCAGAUCAACCCCUCCACCUUCAGAAAUAUUUACAAAUAGGUUCCUGGUUCCUCGCAAAUCAGUCCUAAACCUCCUUUUUAAGCCCCUAACCCAUGUUUAACUCGUCAUUUCAUGCGCCAAACUUCCUCCAAUUAACCCCAAAUUUUACCACGUCAUCCUCCAGAAUACUUCCGCCGAUCCAUAUCCAAAUUUCCCAAAAAUAUUCUUUCUACCUAUUUUCCGUUCGCGUUUUCUGUUCGGAGCUCAACGGAUAAAAGCCGUUUUUCUUUUAUUUAUUUGUGUGCCCGUUUGUGUGUGCCGUAGAUCGUGGUUUACCCGAGGAGGAGCACGAGGAGGAGUUUG
rnacentral:lncRNA from 1 species